GAGUUUGAUCUUGGCUCAGAGCGAACGCUGGCGGCAGGCCUAACACAUGCAAGUCGAACGAACUCUUCGGAGUUAGUGGCGGACGGGUGAGUAACACGUGGGAACGUGCCUUUUGGUUCGGAAUAACUCAGGGAAACUUGUGCUAAUACCGAAUGUGCCCUUCGGGGAAGAUUUAUCGCCAUUAGAGCGGCCCGCGUCUGAUUAGCUAGUUGGUGAGGUAAAGGCUCACCAAGGCGACGAUCAGUAGCUGGUCUGAGAGGAUGAUCAGCCACAUUGGGACUGAGACACGGCCCAAACUCCUACGGGAGGCAGCAGUGGGGAAUCUUGCGCAAUGGGCGAAAGCCUGACGCAGCCAUGCCGCGUGAAUGAUGAAGGUCUUAGGAUUGUAAAAAUUCUUUCACCGGGGACGAUAAUGACGGUACCCGGAGAAGAAGCCCCGGCUAACUUCGUGCCAGCCGCCGCAGUAAU
rnacentral:rRNA from 1 species